rnacentral:lncRNA from 1 species
UGAUACAUUCCCCAAGGUCUGGUAGUACAAAUCAUGAGCUUCUAAGAAUAGAGUUUACAAAGCUGGUAUGAAGUAAACAUAUUAUCUGUUUGAAAAGUAUAUAAAUAGAGUUUGAUAAAUCUAAGGCUACCAAGAAUAAGAGGCAGCUACAACCGGUAUGCAGGUACAUCUUCAGAUCCAGCUCCCAACGAACACAACAACAACAGCAGCCAACAUCUGCACGCAAGGUGUAGAAGUGUAGUAUGAGUACAACCGACCCCAUGUACUCAAUAAGUAACAAACCUAACCUUAGUUUGAAAGUAGUGACGAGCUUGUACCAAGGUCAGAGUUCAACUACCAUAACCAACAGCAAUUCAUAACAACAUUAAACAAGUAAUACAAAAAACGUAACUCAGAGAUAAAAUGCUCAGCUUAUAUCAUGAUUUCUAAAAAUAGUUCCGCCUUUCAAGUACAUUAAUGAAAACCCAAACCAUUUACCGAAGUUGCCAAAAAUAUCAAUAAGUUUGAAAACAGUAAUUUUUCUCAAAAAUAGUUUCAAUGAUAAUUAAGGUGUCUCAUUUUCUUUCCAGAUAGCCACUGUAAAAUAAAUGCAUCACUAUGCCCUUAUGUCAAUAUGUGUCAGAAGUCAUGAAUGACGUGAUACCGUACAGCAUGAGGAAAAUACAUCUCUAUGCAUGUAUGUCUUGUGUGCAUGUCAAUGCAAUGUAUCUCAAAGAUGAACUUAUGUACUCACACUAUCAGAGUACUCAAUUUCACUGUCUCACACAUUCCACUCAUCAUGCUCAAUCACUCGGUGUUGUAUAUGGCCAAUCCGGCGCAGGGAAGAUCCAUCCCGAAUUAUACACAUCAACUGAUCAUCAGUCACACAGUACCGAGUAAGGCCAAUCCAGCCCAUGGAAAAGAUCCAUUUUCAGGUAUAUAAUGCUUCGGACAAGAUCCAUGUCCAGGGAAGAUGCAUCCCUCAAUAAUAUCAAUCACGCUCAUUAGAGUGUGUGCAGACUCCGGAAGGGCUCCUUCAGCCCAUGCGCUAUCAUAAAUUAGUAUAAUCGUUGCGGUGUGCAGCCCGAUCCCAUAAUGUUACUCAUAAUCAGGUCCUCGGCCUCAAUCAGCCAUCAAUCUCUCCAGUCUCUCUCUCUCUCUCUCUCUCUCUCUCUCUCUCUCUCUCUCUCUCGGGCUGACAAAGUCAUGAAACUAGCCCAAAAAUGAUGAUAUGAUGUAUAUAUAAAUAGCAACAGAGACUGAGAUAUGAUAUGCACAUGAAUAUGUAUGGAUGAGUAUGUAAUGCAAUGAAAGCAGAUAAGUCAACAACAUAAAUGACCUCAGUGGGUCCCAAAAGAAUAAGCAUGUAGCCUAGGAAUGGCUUCUAACAUGAAUCAUAGCUCGAUAACUCUAGUACAUAAAGAUUUCAUGAUUACAGAUAAGUUCAGGUAACUACACAGUACCACAGAAUUAACGGAAUCACAGUUCACAUGGUGCAUGCCCACACGCCCAUCAUCUAGCAUGUGCGUCACUUCAACACC